UGGAGAACACUUUGAAGUGUUAAAAGUGGAGAGAAUUGUCCUCAAAAAGAAUAGGUUUAAUGCUAGACCAGUACGGAGAACGACUAGCACGUUGCUCGACUGGAAAGGUUGUGGUCUUUCUCAAGCUGACUUGGUAAACUUACCCAUUGACAAUAGUGCAAUUGGACAAAUUGGUUUGUAAGGUAUCAAGAUGAAAACUAUUUUACUUUUGAUGCUUCUUGUCGCACUGAGUGUGAACGGAAUGCCUAUGCCAGACAUGAACGAAGCUGAAGGAAACACGUGCCACAUCUAUCACGGUGUCUAUGGCCAGUGCAGAAGCACUUGUAGUCCUGAUGACAAAGUCAUGAAAGGUGUGGGUGUAUGCAAGGGUCUUCUGUGCUGUUACCGAGGCUAUGGACUGUGAUUUAGAGCCAGAGUAUCCUCAAAAAGGAUGUUAAUAAAAUAGAAACUUUUGAAUGGAAGUAAAUGAGAAAACAAUACACAACGUGUUAUU